rnacentral:rRNA from 1 species
GAUGAACGCUGGCGGCGUGCCUAAUACAUGCAAGUCGAGCGAACGGACGAGAAGCUUGCUUCUCUGAUGUUAGCGGCGGACGGGUGAGUAACACGUGGAUAACCUACCUAUAAGACUGGGAUAACUUCGGGAAACCGGAGCUAAUACCGGAUAAUAUUUUGAACCGCAUGGUUCAAAAGUGAAAGACGGUCUUGCUGUCACUUAUAGAUGGAUCCGCGCUGCAUUAGCUAGUUGGUAAGGUAACGGCUUACCAAGGCAACGAUGCAUAGCCGACCUGAGGGGGUGAUCGGCCACACUGGAACUGAGACACGGUCCAGACUCCUACGGGAGGCAGCAGUAGGGAAUCUUCCGCAAUGGGCGAAAGCCUGACGGAGCAACGCCGCGUGAGUGAUGAAGGUCUUCGGAUCGUAAAACUCUGUUAUUAGGGAAGAACAUAUGUGUAAGUAACUGUGCACAUCUUGACGGUACCUAAUCAGAAAGCCACGGCUAACUACGUGCCAGCAGCCGCGGUAAUACGUAGGUGGCAAGCGUUAUCCGGAAUUAUUGGGCGUAAAGCGCGCGUAGGCGGUUUUUUAAGUCUGAUGUGAAAGCCCACGGCUCAACCGUGGAGGGUCAUUGGAAACUGGAAAACUUGAGUGCAGAAGAGGAAAGUGGAAUUCCAUGUGUAGCGGUGAAAUGCGCAGAGAUAUGGAGGGACACCAGUGGCGAAGGCGACUUUCUGGUCUGUAACUGACGCUGAUGUGCGAAAGCGUGGGGAUCAAACAGGAUUAGAUACCCUGGUAGUCCACGCCGUAAACGAUGAGUGCUAAGUGUUAGGGGGUUUCCGCCCCUUAGUGCUGCAGCUAACGCAUUAAGCACUCCGCCUGGGGAGUACGACCGCAAGGUUGAAACUCAAAGGAAUUGACGGGGACCCGCACAAGCGGUGGAGCAUGUGGUUUAAUUCGAAGCAACGCGAAGAACCUUACCAAAUCUUGACAUCCUUUGACAACUCUAGAGAUAGAGCUUUCCCCUUCGGGGGACAAAGUGACAGGUGGUGCAUGGUUGUCGUCAGCUCGUGUCGUGAGAUGUUGGGUUAAGUCCCGCAACGAGCGCAACCCUUAAGCUUAGUUGCCAUCAUUAAGUUGGGCACUCUAAGUUGACUGCCGGUGACAAACCGGAGGAAGGUGGGGAUGACGUCAAAUCAUCAUGCCCCUUAUGAUUUGGGCUACACACGUGCUACAAUGGACAAUACAAAGGGCAGCGAAACCGCGAGGUCAAGCAAAUCCCAUAAAGUUGUUCUCAGUUCGGAUUGUAGUCUGCAACUCGACUACAUGAAGCUGGAAUCGCUAGUAAUCGUAGAUCAGCAUGCUACGGUGAAUACGUUCCCGGGUCU